GAUGAACGCUGGCGGCGUGCCUAAUACAUGCAAGUCGAGCGAACAGAUGAGGAGCUUGCUCCUCUGACGUUAGCGGCGGACGGGUGAGUAACACGUGGAUAACCUACCUAUAAGACUGGGAUAACUUCGGGAAACCGGAGCUAAUACCGGAUAAUAUAUUGAACCGCAUGGUUCAAUAGUGAGAGACGGUUUUGCUGUCACUUAUAGAUGGAUCCGCGCCGCAUUAGAUAGUUGGUAAGUUAACGGCUUACCAAGGCAACGAUGCGUAGCCGACCUGAGAGGGUGAUCGGCCACACUGGAACUGAGCCACGGUCCAGGCUCCUACGGGAGGCAGCAGUAGGGAAUCUUCCGCAAUGGGCGAAAGCCUGACGGAGCAACGCCGAGUGAGUGAUGAAGGUCUUCGGAUCGUAAAACUCUGUUAUUAGGGAAGAACAAAUGUGUAAGUAACUAUGCACGUCUUGACGGUACCUAAUCAGAAAGCCACGGCUAACUACGUG
rnacentral:rRNA from 1 species